ACGGGUGAGUAAUGCAUAGGUAACGUACCUUGUGAUUGGGGAUAGCGUCGGGCCCGCAAGGGUCCUUUGCGAAAGUGACGUUAAUACUCGAUGACGUCUUUGGGUCGCAUGGCCUGAAGACCAAAGGUGGGGACCGCAAGGCCUACCGGCACGAGAUCGGCCUAUGCCCUAUCAGCUAGUUGGUGAGGUAAUGGCUCACCAAGGCUUUGACGGGUAGCCGGCGUGAGAGCGCGACCGGCCACAUCGGGACUGAGACACUGCCCGGACACCUACGGGUGGCUGCAGCAACGAAUAUUCCGCAAUGGGCGCAAGCCUGACGGAGCGACGCCGCGUGGAGGAUGAAGUCCUUCGGGAUGUAAACUCCAAUAGUUUGUCAGGAAGUAACCCGGCCUAAUAUGCCGGGAAGUUGACCAGCAGACGAAAGGGGCGGCUAACUCCGUGCCAGCAGCCGCGGUAAGACGGAGGCCCCGAGCGUUGUUCGGAAUUAUUGGGCUUAAAGCGCGUGUAGGCGGGUCGGUAAGUGCUUUGUGAAAUCCCCGGGCUCAACCCGGGAAUUGCUUGGCAUACUGCCGGUCUUGA
rnacentral:rRNA from 1 species